CCUUGUACACACCGCCCGUCACACCAUGGGAGUUGGCUUUACCCGAAGGCGUCGCGCCAACCGCAAGGAGGCAGACGACCACGGUAGGGUCAGCGACUGGGGUG
rnacentral:rRNA from 1 species